ensembl:lncRNA
CGAUUUUCUACACUCAUCCCAUUUCAUUCUCACACUUGUCUAAAAAGGAGGGGGGUCUACCAUGAUGGCCAUUUUAAAGACGGGGAAACUGAGGCACAGAGGAAGGAGUCCCUUGGCCAAGUUCACAGAGGGGCAAACCGCAGGGUCAGGGCUGGUCUCAUUUCCAGGGCCAGGACUGCUAACCACCACCCUGCUGCCAGGUAGCCCCAGAAGCUUGCACAGGUUCGCUAAGCCAAAAAGGUUUGACGAAGGCUUGUGGAAUUUUCCUGUGGAUCCUGUGCCCUUUGAUUCUUAUGCCAGAUUACACACCGCAGAUUACGUGCAAGGACGCAGACAAUUGUGUCAGAGGAAGUCGUUAGAGGUACACAGGAGAACUUCGCAGACGGAGAUACUGAGGCCCAGAGCAGGGGGGAGACGCCCCAAGUAUCUCGUGGCAGGUUCAAUUUCUUCUCCGCCGUCACCAUCAUGAUCAUCUCGACCAAGAUCAGAAAUAACUUAGCUGUGAAAAAAAUCUGUCAGCUUGCCGGCAGCCCUUGAAGAAGAUGAAUUGCUGGUGGGUUAUUUUUCCCCCUUGAGUCAGAAGUGUGAAGGACCCGGGUCCAGGGUCAGGCUGCUCCCCUGGUGAGUUGAUGCUGACAUUCCCCAGCGACCAGGGCUUGAUUCUAGAGCUUCCAGGUUUGAAUCCAGCACUACCCCAGCACAGUGUGACCCCGGGAACGUCCCUCUCCCUCUCUGGGCCUCAGUUUCCCCAACUGAAAAAUGGGGAUGGAAGUGGGUUUUGCUAGGGUUAGGUGAGAUGACGGAUGUAAAAGUGUCAAGGGUUGUGCAAGGUGAUUGUGCAAGGUGUGUGCAAUCAAUGUUUGCCCAUCCAGUCUUCAUUGCACGUCUGGGGAGACCAACACAGGCCGGCCUGGGCAACACUCACCAUCAGACUAACUCUUGGUGAGCACUAAUGAUGCCCAGGUGCCCUGCCCUCUGUGUACAGGGUCAUCUCACCUGGUCCUUCCACCGCAGGGGCCAGACACUGCCAUCAUCCUCGUUUGACCAGUGAUGAGAUGGGACACCAGUGGACAUUUUUGGGAACCUGCCCAAGGGCUCUCAGCUAUUAAAACAGGGGCGCCAGGAUCAGGAGCUGGGUUCCAGCCUGCCCCCUCCCACCACAUUUGUAGAGAACUGCAUGAUUUACCCUCAAGGGGGCUUCAGAUACCAGCUCAAAGAGCGUCUGCAAAUGGUGUGAGGGGCCAAAAUUCAGAGAGGGAGGGGACCUGCCCGGGAGCCUGGCCCAUCAAGCCCUCCGGCGGCUGGCGGGUUGCGUCACUGACCCAGAGGGAGGCAAGGCUGUCCUGACUGCCGCAUCCCUGAGCCGCCAUGUGGCAGGGAGUCCAGUUUGCCUGUACCGUCUCCAAACCAUUUUGGCUUUGGUCUCCCAAGACGAGUCACCCUGUGGAAACUGAGGAUGCCCAGCAUCACUGAGAGGUCUGUGCGUCUCUGUGCUUGCUGACGAAGGGAGGAGGAAGGCUGGCGAAGAGGAUUUUAACACUUCAGAUCAACCGAGGUCUUCAGAGGAGUCAAUCUGACCUCUCAGUAGACAGGAGGGGAAACUGAGGCCGGGAAAGAGAUGGCAAUUCCCAGGUGGCCCAGGGACGGCCACAUCUUACUGCAGGGCCCUCUUCUCUCCUGAAGGAUGGUGGGAUCAUUAGACGAAAGGAGGUGGGGGGAGGGGAGAAGGUCUGGCUGACGGCAUGUGAGGACUCGGGGUUCUGUCUACUUGUCCCUUUAGACGGGAGAAGAGCGCAGCUCUUGCAGGGGGCCAGGUCUUAGUCCUAGCGAUGGCAGAAACCCAUUGAAACCAGGCUUUGGAGACACAGCUGCUCUCUGGGCCUUGUUAGGAAGGGAGUUGGGGACCAUUUCUGCAGCCUGGCAGUGGGCCUGCGGGGGAGCCUGCACCCUCCCGCCUCCGGUGGCCUGGCAGCCCUGGGUCCCUGUCUGAGCUGCAUCUCCUCCUGCCGCGUGGACCACUCCACCUCUCUGAGCCUCGUCUGUAAAGCAGCAGUCACAUCCGUCCUUGCAGAGCUGGCGAGGGGGCAAGUGACGCAACGUUCCCCUCUCCGCUUCCCCGUUAGCCGUGAUUACGCUUGUCACUAAAUGGGCCCUUUGUGACAGUGUUUAGUAUUGGCCUCCUGCCCUCAGAGCCCGCAGGGACCAUGGCUAUCUGGCUGGUCACCAUGUCACCAGUGCCUAGCACAGGGGCCAGCCCUGUACCACGUUUGGGGAGUUUAUGAAGAUUUAUAGAGUAUCUGACACACUUCUGACAUGUAAAAACAUCACGUCUAUGAAAAGCACGUGAAGCAGCUAUUUGGAGAAACUCGUGGGGAGGAGGAUGUUGUGCCUCGGGUGGGAGCCCAGGAGUCACCGCCCAGGGCUUCAGAGUCCGGAGCACGGGCUCCUCCAGAAGGACCAAGUGGGCACCAGGUGCACUUCUCAUCUGUGACCAGCAGGUGGCGCCCACCCCUGCCCUCAGGCCACUGGCUGUCCUGCUGCUCUCGGUGGCUUGUCCUGGCGCCCAUCGCAGUGUAUUUGUUUUUUGGGGUGUGUCUGCCCACAGCUCCCUGCAGGGAGUGGUGGACUUUGCUUCUCCUUCAAGGCCCAGCUCAGGCCCAGCUCAGGCCCAGCUCAGGUGCAAGCAACCCUUCCUCGGUGCCCAGCCUGGGGUCUGUCUGGGGAAGGUGCUCGGAUGUUGUGACCUGAAGGAUGGAAUGAGACAGAUCAGAAAGGAGGGCUCCGGUCGUGGGAAGGAGGGAGGAGCCCUGGGUCACACGUCUCAUUGGUUAAAAAUGAAUAGAUGCAUAAAUGUAGAAAAUCAUGUUUUUGAGUGGAGUGAGAAACGCUCAGGUAGUUCAGUUUCCCCUGCAAAUGGACCACCAGACAAUUGAAGGAGUUAAAUGCUUAUUAAAAGUGCAGGUAAAAUUGAUAUUAUGUUUCUGGGAAAUAUGUCUGCAGAACGGUAUUGCGGGGGCCUUCGUGUCCAUACGAUCACUUUUGG